UGGCGCUUAAUAUAAAAGAAUCUUUUCUUCUUCCCUCUUCCCCUCUUCAAUCAUCCCAUUCGUUGCUCCAAACACCGCCGGAGACUCAUCCCGAUCUUUUUGACUCCGCUCCCCUGAGACCCAAGCAGCCCCAUCCUUCGCAGGACACUCACAAACAUGUCUAUAAUCCAAAGAAAUUAUCAAGAUCAUUGUAAGUUUUCAUUCUUAUCAUUUUCUCUUCUCCUGUUUAUUUUAGUUCUAUAGGUUUUUUCUCUAAUUUCGAGUUGAAGUUUCCUCUGUAUGUACGAACAAGAAAAGAUCGAAGUUUAGUUGUUGCUUUUUUUUAAUUCUCUUUUAUCUGAUUGGCUGUUUUUUUCCCUGUAAAAUCUGAUUUUCUAACUGCACUGCUGCAUAAGUUGUAUUGCAACAUUAAAACAGAAGGAAACUACAUAGUUUUUCUGUAGUUUUAUCGAUCGUUUUUAGGGUUUCCUUCUCUAUCUCGUUAUUGGGUUUUUUGUUUUUUCUGUAAAAUCUUGAUUAAGCGUGUCUGGUAGGCUUAUUUCAGAACGUGUUUAUGUGGCUUUGUUGAUCAUUUGAUAUCGUCUUGUGUGGUUGGAUGAUUUUUUUGGGUCGUUUGAGAAUGUAUUUCAGAUUCUGUCAGCACUCUUAUGAAUAACCAGUUUUAUCAGAUGGUGAUGUUCUAGUCAGAUCUCUUUUAUAUGGGUGUGUGAUCGAUGAAUACUCCAUCAGCUAAUGUUUAUUUUGUUUCCUAUUUGGGAUUUUCCCCUGUAAGAUCAUCAACAAACCAAAUAAACAGUAAUACCAGAAGCUUUCUAAGCCUAAGAACCCAAAAUUCGUAACAUACCAAAUGCUCAACCUCCAUCUGUUCGAUAAAAUGCCUGAGAAAUCAUUUGACUCUCAGACUUCAAAUUUGAACUAGGAACUUGGUUGAGAUGAUUAUGUUGGGAGUUUAACCUAUAACCAAAUGAAGUUCAGAAAUUGCUUCAUUGAGGAGGAUGCUAAAUCAGCUAUUGCUAACGUUGUAUCAGAAGUUACACAGAUACCUGAGAAUCUUCGGUUGUUAAAGCAUAUUAAGAAGAAGCUUAAAGAAGUUUGAUCAAAAUGGUACUCUUUUACUUCCAUUGAAUCUCAAAUAAGGGUUUUGGGUGAUUUGUCUUUAUGGAAACGAUAUGCAGGUGUACAGGAAAUGAUGGGAUAAACAUACUUCGUGUUGAACAAACAAAAAAAAGAUGAUUGGUCAAGCAAGUGGAUUUUAGAGAUUGAAAAUUGAUUUUUGGGGGGCAUAAAGUGCAUUAUUUAUUUAUUCAUGUUACAUAUUCUCUGUUUAUUAUAUCUUGAUGGGAUUAACAUACUUGAUGCUGAAUCAAUCAAAAAAAGAUGUUGAGUAUUUUGGAAAACACCUUCAGCACUUAUUUAUUGCACCUGCGAAUUGGGAAAUGUCACAUGGUGUGAUCUUGGGUGGGCUGAAAUGUUAAAAACAGGUGGUCAAUAUAAAGAGGGGACUGAUGUUUACUUUUGUAUCUCUGGAUUUUAGAGAUUGAAAUUUGAUUUUUGGGACAUAAGGUCAUCAAAUGCUUAAAUCUUAAUCAAAUGAGGUGUUGUGAUUUUUUUAUGUCAUCAACUCUCUUCCUAUUUCCUAGAUUUAAAGAUUAAAGAACACAAGUUCUUUGUUAGGUCAAAAUAGUGUAUCCUGUUAUUUGUAUGUGUUUCUGAAUCUCAUUGUGUGAUGAUACGAAAAAGAUGAAGCUUUGUUGCAUUAAGCCCUAAAAGAAUGUUUAGAGAUUGUUGUAGUCCACUAAUUCAACUUCAAAUUGCAUCAGAUGUUGAGGUAUAAAUUAAUUUAUCUGUUUACAUGUUCACAACAUUCAUCACAUGUUACAAUGCUGAGGGAUAAAUGUUGAUGUAUAAGUUUAUCAGUUUAGUGUUAGUUGUUUGAUUUGAUACUCUGAGAAAUGUUUUUUUUUCUUUCAUUCAAGUAGGUGACAAAGGAGUGGUUAUUAUUAUACCCAUCUGUAAGGUUUUUUACCUAAAUAUAUUGUGUGAAAGUUACACACAGUUGUAAGAGUUUAAAUUUUAUCAUUUUAAAAUGAUUUUCUCUCAACAUGGUUCUUUUAUUUUGUUUUUAGGGAAGUGACAAAGGAGUGGUUUCUAUUUCUUAUUCACUUAUUCUUUUUUUUUUCUUUGCAAGUCUACCAAAAUUGAAUCUUUUCUUAUCUUAAGUGGGAAUUAUUCCUUUGUUACAUGGUUUUUCUGUAGUUUUGUUGAUCGUUUCAUUGGGUCUUUCUUCUCUAUCUUUUCAUUGGUUUUUUUUUCUCUCUCUAAAAUCUGAUUUUGACAAUGUCUGGUAGGCUUAUUUCAGAAUGUGUUUCUUUGAUUUUGUUGAUCAUUUAAUAAUGUUUUGCAUUAUGUACUUUAACAUUUACCAAAUCAGACAGAUACUUGUUUUUCUUCUCUUUAACAUAUCCAUGAAUCAUCACAUUUCUUAUUUAUUCUUUUUUAUCAAUUUCUUUCAGGGCUUUGUGCAUUCUCUCAUUGGGUUGGUAAUGAUGAAAAAAUCUUGAAAAAUUUCACUUCAGUCAAAUAACAUAACCCCAAAUUUUUUACUUACAUUAGUAUGACAUUAAUUGCUAUUGUAAACAACUUAUGGUGGAGAAAAGGAAAAGAAGAUGCCCCUGAGAAUCAAAGUGUAUGUUUUUACCCUUAACACUAUAAAACCCUUGAUGCUUUUUAUGUUCUUACUUAGUUUUCAUGUUAUGGUUUAAAGCUACACUUUUAGUCUCAUUGAAUCUCAAAUAAGGGUGUAAAUAUCAAUGAUUCUGUAAUAAUAGUUAAGUAACAAUAUGUGAUAUAUAUGAAUGAUGCAUCUAUAUAUCUUUUUAGAGUAAUAUUACAUUUUUGGUCACUAAGUGUAGCUGAUUUUUUCAGUUUUGGUCCUUCUUUGAGGUUUAUGAUGUUUGUUUUUUUUUUCUUUUUAAUUAUUGUUCAUAUAUAAUCAGCUAUUCUUACUUGGAACAGGGGCCAUAAAUGUUACAUGUGAAAUUCAUAAAUUAGGUGUAAUCAGGGACCAAAAGUGUAUUUUACUCUUCUUUUUAAGUUUGCAUGCUUUAUGUUGGCCUUUUUGUAUCAGAUAAAACAUGCGAUGUGUACAGAUAGAAAUGUUUUAUUUUUGUUUUUAGAGGAACAACAUGGAGUCAUAUUUGGGAUCAUGUCCAGUUUUAUACAGGACAGUAAGUUUGGUGUAAAUGAGUUAUUAAAUUUUGAUAUAAUACACCAAAUAGUUUGAAAUUACAAUAUUACCCUCUUUGGACACAGGUAAGGGUUGAUGUGGCAAUAAAGCAUAGUGUGGCUUGUAAAAGAAGUUGAUGAAUGCAUAUAUUCUGAGGAGGCAAGAAUGCAUCUCCUAUGUAUAACACCAAAAUAAAAGAUAAACUUGGCCAUCAACCUUGUCUCUAGGAAAACAGGAUGCUAUAUAUAUAUAAUAAGAAAUCACUGAAAGUGCAUUGCUAGGUUUAAACCCUAAAAUAGAUCUUCAGGACAACUUGAAAAUGUGUUGUGAGAAAGGUUAGCCUCGUCUUUUGAAUCUCUGCAUGUUAUGCAAUUAUGCAUACACAUGUAAUCUGCAUUGGAAGAGUGGAUGUGAUUUUUAAAGACAAAAUAUUGUAUGCCAUAAGAGCAGUACGAUCUUUUCUGAAGUUUUCAGUAGCAAUAUGUUAUUGUUGUUUUAUCAUCGGGUGCAGACAUCUGAGAUUGAGGUUCUAUGGUUGUUAAAGCUGAUUAAGGAGAAGCAAAAAGAAGUUAAUCGAAAUGGUAAAUUCUUUUGGUAGCAAUUAACAAUUUUAAACAGUACAAAAUGCAGCUUUAUAAUUUUAACUAGACAAUACUACAAUUAUUCCUUUAUGAUGUUUGGCAUACCAUAAAGUAUUAUUACAUAUCUUAUAAAUUUUAACUAGACAGAAGUGUACCCAUUUAUAGCAUUGUACUUUCAUCUUUUUUAUUUCUUAUCAGGGCAUUCACAUUAUGCAUUGAAAACUCUACCAAAUUAUAGAUAGCAUUGUACUUUCAUCUCAUUUUUUAUUUUAUUUUUGUUUAUUAGGACAUUAUCUUCUAAAACAUUUCACCUAAUUAAGCAAUGAAAUCGCUUUGUCAUUGUAUGGCAUUGCUAAAACUGGGUUGAUUUUUGAAAGCACGGUGUUGUAUGAAGAUAGUAGGAUGCUAUAAAUUUGUAUUUGUAUGGCAUCGCUUUGUUUUUUUAUAGGGUAAAUUUCAGGAAAUAGCAACAUACUUCUUUCUUUUUACCAAUAUAUAGACAAUAUACUUACAUACUGUAUAAAAGCAUCAUAAUUGCUUACAAGUUGUCACUCAUUAUGCAACAUACUUAGAUCUCUUUAUCAAUAAUAGUAAAAUGCCAAAUUGUUACAAAUAAAGUUUAAGUAUGUAGCCUGUUAUUAUGGAUAAAGAACAAACAAAAGUGGAGCAUAUAAAAUGCGUUUUUCAUCGAAUCCAAUAUUGUUGUUCUUGAAUUCAUGGCUGCAAACCCUUCAAAUACUUCAAAGGCCGAAAUCAAUUCACAGUUGUGAACCCUUCAAACCUUCAUAUUUUCUUCAAGAACACUAAUCACGACCGUAAACCAUUCAAGGGCUGUACACGGCCGAGAACAAUUCACGUCCGCAAACCUUCCCAAAUCGUGAACUUGGCUGAAAACCCGCUUUUUCCGAUUCAAUCGAGUCCCGGAUCCCGUUAAGUGUUGCGUACAUCAACCCGAGGGUCUUCAUUUCCAGUUUCGUUGUUCGACACUUUCACGCAACUAACAGUGGGUUCCUGCCCCUAUAUUUUCCAAGAUUUUUAAUUGUUUUAGGGUGAGAAUGCAAGUAAAACACAAGAAAUGUUAUGUUUUUAAAAUAUAAAUUGUUUAUUAUG